CGAGGAUUAUAUAGCAUUUUUUCUUUCUGUUCACGUUCAUGCUACCUUCUUCUAACUGUUCAGCUUCACAAGAGGAAACAUUGGUUAAACAUUGUAACAAUUCUUGCACAGCAAAGCAACACGAUUCUCCCAAUUGGAUGGAAUCUUAAUAGCAUUCAAUACAAGGAUAAAUAUUUUUUAUCAUAAACGCGAAAGCUUCUGGAAUUUUAGCUUGAAGAAUUUCCUUAAUGGUGCAUAAUUCAUCAAUUGCAAGAUGUUUGAAAAUAUUGGCAGCUUUUAUUUGAAUCUUUGUAAGAGUGAAAAAAAAAAACUAUAAAAAAUGUGUAAAAAAAAAGAAAAAGUACUUUUGAAUUUGGGGAUUGUAUUCCAGUACUUAUAAUCUCGAAACCACCCAAUUUUAAAAAGUCCUAAAAAAACAUAUUAGCGUGCUAUGUUAAGCAUUAAGAAAUACAUAGGUCACCUCUUCAAUAUUUUUGACCUGACGAAUAAGACUUGAAAGAGCACUUAAAUUUAGUGGAUUUGUCAGUAAAGCCUCACGAUCUUUUAACAAUUCAAUUAAACCGCCAGCCUUCCAAAACUCUAUUUGUAUCUUCUCAUUAUUUGACAAUGAAAAAGAUAGUAUCUGUUAAAUAUUCCAAAUAUAGAGUGAUCUAAAAAAUUUAAACACUACAUGAUAGCCAACAUUGCGAAUUUCUUCAUGAUUCAUUUGUAUAGCUUUCAACAAAAUCGAAAAAUAUGGAGGUUAUAAAGAAGAAAGUUGAUAGAGAAUUUACCUGUCAAGGUGGCGAGAAACUUCAGGAAAAUCGUCAACACAAUCUUUUAUUGUAACAAGAGCUGUUAUUUUAUCGGUCUCUGAUUUUUUGUGUUAUAAUGAAUCAGCCAAGAAAUAAAUCAAAAUAUACCAACCUGUAAG